CUGAACUACAAGGCUCAGCUGGUGAAGAACCUGCAACCCCGAAUUUAUUGUCCCUUUGCUGGGUAUUUUGUGGAAUCUCACCCAUCAGACAAGUACAUCAAGGAAACAAACACCAAAAAUGACCCAAAUGAACUCAACAAUCUUAUCAAGAAAAACUCUGAUGUGAUAACAUGGACCCCUCGACCGGGAGCCACCCUUGAUCUGGCAAGAAUGCUGAAGGAUCCAACAGACAGCAAGGGCAUCGUAGAGCCUCCAGAGGGGACGAAAAUUUACAAGGAUUCCUGGGAUUUUGAACCUUAUUUGGAAAUCUUGAAUGCUGCUGUAGGAGAUGAAAUAUUUCUUCACUCAUCCUGGAUAAAAGAAUACUUCACUUGGGCUGGAUUUAAAGAUUACAACCUUGUGGUCAGGAUCCAUAGCCGGGUGGAUGUCAUCAGACACGUGGUGAAAAAUGGUCUACUCUGGGACGAGUUGUAUAUAGGAUUCCAAACACGGCUCCAGCGGGAUCCUGACAUAUACCAUCACCUAUAUAGAUCUAGAUUUUCACAUAUAAGGACUCCUUAAAGCAAGGAACAUCAUAGUACAAUAAAAAUAAGACAAAAUCUCAUUCAAGGGACUAUCUGUAUUCAACACCCUGAAAGUUCUGAGCUACAUCAACAGCUGGAACAGUACAGAAACACUAUCUCUGAGGGAGGACAGAGUACCAGGUACUAAAUAGAUCCUGGCAAAUUAACAGGCAUGGAAGUUUCCAGAGCACAUUCCCAUGCUUUAUCUCUCUUACAGGUUUUGGAAUCAUUUUCAAAUAAAACUCCCCCUCACGCCACCCAACUGGAAGUCAUUCCUGAUGUGCUGUGAGCAGAAUGAGCCUGGGAUUUUGCAAGAAUGCAAAACCACAUGAAAAUUUCAAGAAUUCACUGAUCUGAUGCAAAAUAAAAAUUUAUCAUUACAUCUUGAACC
rnacentral:sRNA from 1 species